GACGAACCGUGCGAACGUUGUUCGGAAUCACUGGGCUUAAAGGGCGCGUAGGCGGGUAUCCAAGUCACGGGGUGAAAUCCGGCAGCUUAACUGUCGGAACCAGCUUCUGAUACUGGAUGUCUUGAGGGGGGUAGGGGCAGUGUGGAACUUCCGGUGGAGCGGUGAAAUGCGUAGAUAUCGGAAGGAACGCCGGUGGCGAAAGCGACGUGCUGGACCCUUUCUGACGCUGAGGCGCGAAAAGCCAGGGGAGCAAAGCGGG
rnacentral:rRNA from 1 species